GAUGAAGAACGCAGCGAAAUGCGAUAAGUAAUGUGAAUUGCAGAAUUCAGUGAAUCAUCGAAUCUUUGAACGCACAUUGCGCCCGCCAGUAUUCUGGCGGGCAUGCCUGUCUGAGCGUCAUUUCAACCCUCAGCCCCCGCUCGCGGGGCGCUGGCGUUGGGGAUCGGCCGUCCUCGCGGCGGCCGGCCCCGAAACACAGUGGCGGUCUCUCGCGGACUCCCCUGCGUAGUAGCACUACCUCGCAUAAGGGACGAGCGGGCUGACCACGCCGUAAAACCCCCCACUUCUCCAGGUUGACCUCAGAUCAGGUAGGAAUACCCGCUGAACUUAAGCAUAUCAAUAAGCGGAGGA
rnacentral:misc_RNA from 1 species